GUCGCGGUGGCGGCGGAUUAAAAAAAGAAAGCGGGUGCUAAAUCAUUGAGAGAGACGGAGACGGAGGGAGCCGCGGAUGGAAAUAGAGUCGGAGUUGCUCUUGUUUCUACGGUAACUGUGGACGGGGAGGUGCCAGCGAUGAAAGUGAAGGGAAAACAAACCACCCCGCUCCGAUGGCAACAGCGCCGCAAUUGGUUCUCGUUUCCUGUGAGGACAAGAGAGACAGAGGGAGAGAGAGAGGGAGAGAGAUAGAGAGAGGGCGAGAGAGAGAGGGAGCGAGAGAUAGAGAGUGAAUGGGCUGGGGGGGCGUUGAUAGAGAUAGAGCAGAGAGAGAGAGAGGGCGAUGGAAGGGGGGGGAGAGCGAGAGAAACCAUAACAAGGUCCCCUACUCGCCCAAGAGACAGAGUUCUCUGUUGCAUCAGAACACUCACAUCACACACACACGCACACUCACACACACACUCACAAACACACACAUGCACUUCCACGCACAUGCACAUCCACGCACACACACACACUCAUAUCACACACACACACACACACGCAAACAUACAAAUGUACACAUAAACACACAUGCAUACACAUACACACAAAUACACAAACACACGCAUAAAAAAAGACACACAUGCACACACACAUAAUACAUAAAUAGACAAACAAACAAACACACACACGGCUAAGAGAAACAUGCACAAUCACACAGGGCAAAGGCAAACACACACACACACACGCGAGCACACAAUCACAUGCUCCACUACAUUCUCCCCGACGCCCCUCCCUCUCUCACUCUCCCGCCAAAACAUCCUCAGCACGUGAAUCCUGCCUAGAAACCACAUGGAAGCUUCCGCCACGCUCCGAUUGGCUGAGCUCCCUAGCAACCGCAUAUGCCGAGGCAGCCAGUCAGGCGCGUCAAGAGAGGCACACUGACCCAAUGAAACAGAUUAUUCCGAGGCGCGGGCAGGCACAGUGACCUGGUAACAGUCAGAGGAAGAAGUCAGAGAGACACUGGGUAAUAGAAAAGCGGCUCCCUCUGAUUGGCCGACACUCUGAGCGGGCGGCCCGAUUGGCCGCCCGCUCUCCUCUCCUCGCAGUCAUUCAUACAUUUCCCCGUGCCUACCUCAGCACUGCCACGGCUGCUGUUUUCCCUGCCUGCUCUGCCUCAGCUUGUGCUUGUGCUUGCGAGCGUGCCGGUUCCGAGCCCCUGCAUGCCCCCCUGCACUGCACGAAGCCGGCCGCCCCCAAGGUCAAGCCAUCGCCCGUGUCCCUAAACAGGGAUUGGCUAAGGCUCUGGAUGGAGGGAAAAAACAACAACAUCCUAGUAACAAGCACGCCUUGAAACGACCCAC
ensembl:lncRNA